GAGUGCAGUGGAGCAAUCUCGGCUCACUGCAACCUCCGCCUCCAGAGUUCAAGCGAUUCUCCUGCCUCAGCCUCCGAAGUAGCUGGGAUUACAGGUGUACGCCACCAUGCCCAGCUAAUUUUUGUAUUAUUAGUAGAAAUGAGGUUUUUACCAUGUUGCCCAGGCUGGUCUCGAACUCCUAACCUCAGGUGAUCCACCCACCUCAGCCUCCCAAAAUGCUGGGAUUACAGGCAUGAGCCACUGUACCUGGCCUAGAGUAAAUUUAUUGAUUGCACAGGAUGUGUGGUGAUAUUGGUGGACUUAAGGAUACUGAAUUGUGUAUCAGGAAUAAAAUAUUUAUUAUGUGGGGUUUUGGGGGCCCUGGGUAACAAUGUAGCCUCCAGGGUAGAUUGGGUAGAAAAAAUUUAGGGUUGGUUUCCUGUUUCUGUGUUUUUGCUUCUAAUUUUUAUUAAUUUGCUGUUUAUUCUCCUCUGGGCUUUGCUUGUGUAUGCAUAUAUAUAAAACCAUGAUUUUUUUUUUAGUUUCUAGUGGAAAACUUUUAUUUGGUUCUGUGAAUAGUUAUUUCAUUUCCUAUGCCUUUCUAGCAAGUCAUCAUUUGUUCCAUUAAUCUGGAAUUCCUAGACUACCUUUGUCAGGCCCACAGGAAUUGAUGGGGUGCACCAGCUUUUAAAACUUAAACUGACUUUUUGGAUAUUAGGCUCCCUGAUACUUUGAAUGUAUUGAGUAUACUUUCAUAAAUAGAAUUUGAGUCAUUUUUCUCUCUGUCUGCCUAAUUUCUCCAAAAUUUGUAAACUAUUUGUGAAUGUUCUUAACUCAUGGCAAUUUAUUUAUUUAUUUAUUUUUUUGCCUACAGUUGAGUAGGGUUGCUAGGGCUGCCUAGGGAAGGAGAACCCAGAAAUCUGACAUGCCAGCAAAAGGGUAAGAAUUUCUUACCAGUUGGACUUCUGACCUCUCUCUGUGCAAACCAAUCGAAUGAAUGGUAAAAAUCACUGUUUAUCUCCUUUGUAAAGUUUUGGUUAAUGUGAAAAGAAAUUCUGAGGCUACUCAUAAGCUGUAGCAAAUCUGGGUUAUUUUGUGCUAUGAAUUUUUCUUUCUCUGUUGUACUGUCAUGAAGAGGUGUACCUUAGGAUAGAACAUGGGCUUAGGACCCCAUAAGCUCACUGCUCGUGACAACCCAGUAGCCUGGUCAGUAACAAACUUUGCUGCAGGUCCCUGAAACAAACAAAACAACUGGAUGAGGUCUCCAUCUUGUUUUAUGUCCCUAGGAGGUCAUAGUUAGCUCUAAAAGUUGUCUUAAGUAGUUGGAAGCCUUUGCAAGCUCAAAAUGAGCUACUCUAGACUCCUUCUGAAAGGAACAGUGUAGACUGUCCAAUGCUGUGGCUCAGCAGCUGGGGUUUUGCCAUUUUACAGUGGUGGCCUGUGUUGAGUCCUGGCUUGGGAAAUGAUUCCUUUCUGGUUUGAUAUCUGUGUGACCUUUACCAUUUGUUGGUUCUUUUCCCCUCUGUGAACCAUCUUGAAUUUUUCUUCUCUGAGCAUCUGGGAGGUUACCUUUGGUAACGUUCAAAAGCCAGAAAUAUUGGCCACUUCAUGUGGCUAAAAUUGGGUAAUAUGAGAUUUUAAAGGAUUUUUUUUUUUAAAGAAUGCUGUGGUUAAGUCAGUUUAAUUAAAAGUGGAUUCUAACUAUAGGUACAUUUAAAAGGCCUUUAUGUUGUGUUUUUUUUCUCUUCUUGGAUCUUGUUUUUCUGGAAGAAGGUUUUUUUCUUCUCAGUCGACUGAAUGAUUUUUGUGGGAGUCCUAAAAUUCUAGUAUAUUCUGAGUAUAUUCUAUCAAUCUUAAUUAUUACGUUAAGUUACUGUAGACCACAGAAAUAACCAAAUUUCCUUGUCAAUAGUGUUUUUAACUACCAUUAUUUAAAGUCAUUUGAACUCCAUGGUCUUAAGUCAAAUUACCUAUUAUAACCCAUUAGUUAUCAGUACUAUGCCCGUAAGUUGGAGAAACAACUGGUAUUCAAGAGGUCAUAAGUCCAGUGUUAAGCAUAGGCUCAUGGAGAACUAGGAUAGCCACCUUGUCCUUCCUGAGUCCUUAAAGCUUUUGUUAUUAAAGGUUAUGCAUUCUAUGACUCAUCAUGGAAGAGAUAAAAUGAUCCAAAUUAAAUUUAUACUGGAGUGCUGACUUAUAAAUUGCUAAAGUAUUUUAUAACCAAUAUUUGGUUUCUCAAAUCCAUAUUCCUGGGAAGACAAUCAAAGCUUCAGGUACGUUUGGCUACCUGAUGGGUCACUUAAACAUUUCAAUUGUCAUUUUCAAUGCACGUUUUCUGGCUGUAUAAAAGCGUUCCCAUGCAAGAGGGUUGAUGUUGUAACCGUAGAUUAUUAUGCUACAGUGUAUUUUCACCAGGUAAAGAAAGCUUUUUAUGGUUCACUGAGUGAGGAAAAUCAACCCCUUCACAGUCUAGAACCGGAAGAUUGGAUCUUCUGAGAACAUCAGAGAAAGACUGUCCUUGCCAUCCACGCUACAGCAAAACUUCGGGACCUUGAACUUGGAGUUCGUAAUCUCACAGAUGAAAAGGGUCCCUCCACACUCUUGGAACUGUACACCCAUUGGAACCCUUAAGGUUAUGAUAGAAUUGGCUGAAUGGAAGUAUCUGUGCAGCUGCUGGCACUGUGACCUAUGGAGAAAUGCAUCAAAUGAAGAUUAUAGAGAUUCAGUGGUAGGGGAUUAAUGAAGGGAUUGCUUAUUUAGGUGAGUAGACUGUUUAGCUCAUUCUUUGAUCUAUUUGAUUUUAUGUGGUUUGGUUUAUGGGAACCCUGGGUAAGGAGUACACUCCAAGGUCUUGGUAUUAUCCUCCCGAUAGUCAUGAUAAUAGUCUCCCUGGUGAGCUGCAUUAUCUCAAAGGUUUUAAGUGUUGGCGUGCAGCCAUCUCUAGAAUGUCAAAUGGUUUCUCUUUAAACUGAAUGACAAGAGCUGAAAGAAAUAUGCCACCAUGAGGACACUGUAACCUAUCAAUGAUGUGCUGAGACCGGAAACCCAACAUGGUGGUAACUGAGAGUGGCGGUAACGCCUUAAGUAUUGGUCACACUCUCACCUAAGUGAGAACCUGACCAAAAAGGGGGAAUUUUUUAAAACAAAAUUAUGGGAGGUCAUUGUUUUGGACUGAGCUCAUGUGCUAGGCCCCAACAGACCAAACCAAACCAAAAUGGAGUCAUUCAUGCUAAGACUUUAAGGAAACAUACAGAUCUUAGAACAGAUCAGGUUUUGUUUUUCUCCCGCAAAUCUGUAUAACAAACAUUCCUGACAGCACAGGUAUCCACCUCCUGAAGUUCCCAUUAAAUCUUUUAAACAAAUGCAUUUCCUGUCCCCUAGAGACUGUCAAGCUUCAGAUGAUCAUGCAAGAAGGGUUCCAGUUAGUUCCAGAUGAAGACACCCCCCACCUCCCUGGCCAUCAAGAAGCUACCCUGCCUCCAUUAGACAGCACAGGGUGAGAGUUCCAUGAUCCCCAGUAGGUAGAGACUACACCCCAAGCCAGCAUGAAGGAGUUGCAGAAGAAAGACCAUCAGUCCCUCUGACUCCCAGAAAGAUUUAUGAGGCUCAUGUCUCUCAUGGGGGAGAUGAGGCAGGAGAAUAGGGUCAGGGGGCAGGGAACCUAAGGACUUCCUAGAACUAAAUCAAACAGAAAAAACCCAACUUUCUAAGACCAAGUAAAUAACUUUGUAACUCUACUUCAGCUAUGACAGGAAACAUUCUCUUCAUUUGCACAAGGUAUACACCAAAUAAAUAACUUUGUAGCUUCACUUCAUCCCCUUCAUCUGCACAGGGUGUACCCCAAGUAAAUAACUUUGUAACUUCACUUCAGCCUCUCCAUUUAAAUAGAGUGUACACCAAGUAACCAAUAGAAACCUCUAGAGGGUAUUUAAACCCCAGAGAAUUCUGUAACUGGGCCCUUGAGCCACUUGCUCAAGCCACUCCCACCCUGGGGAGUGUGCUUUCAUUUCAAUAAAUCUGUUUUUGUCGCUUCA